GUCGAUGCAAAUAAUGCAUAAUCAAUCUAUUAAAUCAAAAUUGGGGUGAGUUUAUUAUGAGCCAGAGUAAGGAUAAUAAACCAGGAAGGCC